ensembl:lncRNA LINC00928 long intergenic non-protein coding RNA 928
GGGCUGGGCUCAGGUGGGUGAUUCUUUUGGACUAAUUCAUGUGGCUGCAAUUGGAGCUGGAUGAUCUAAAUGGUCUCACUCCUAGGUCUGGCUGUUGAUGUUGGCUGUUGGCUGAGCCAGGGGCCGCCAGCAGGCUAGCAUGGGCUCUUCACUCAGCAGCAGGGUUCCCCAAGAGGACAAGCCCAACACACAUGUGCUUUUCAAGCCUGUGAUUAUCAGGCUUGAAAUACUGCAACAUCUGCUGCAAUCAGUAACAACCACAUAAGAAAGCAAUGACAAGUUAUGAUUACUGCUCUGGAGGGAGUGAGCAGGAUGCUGUGAGAGAGGGUUACUAUUCCAAGUGGCACCUGGGCCAGCAGCAUUGGCAUCACCUGGGACUUGUGAGAAAUCCAGCAUCUCAGGCUCCACUGCAGGUCUCCUAAAUCAGAAUCUACAGUUUAACAAGAUCCCCAGCAGAUGUGUGUGUAAGGUUUAUAGAGAGAAGAUUCAAGCCUCAACAGGCCAGGUCAGUUGGACAAGGUGACUUUUAAGCCCUCUUCUAGCUUCAUGAAAACAGAUCUGAAACUUGCCUGAUCUCAGAAAUGGUAGUAAAAACACCAUGUACCUGAAUGGUCUGGUGGCAGGUAUGUCCUGUGCACUUAGUAUUCUCUAAGUUCUGGGAGGGGCAGGUUAUCUGCCAGUAAGAGGCAGGAGAUUCCAGCAUCCUGGUGUGCUUAACAGUAUCAUCUCAUUCACCAGACAGGCAGCCCUUGUGCCUCUCCACUAAGGCUAACUGCCAGGAGGAUAAGGUGUGGGUGGGUUUUAUUCACUGCUCCAUCCUCAGAGGCUAGCAAAAUGCCUGGAAGAGGGAGAAAUCUCUAGUGUUUAUAGACAGACCAACACUCGUACCCUGAAAGGACACAAUACCACAGGGGAUUGGUAGAGGUAAUGAUUACAGGCAACAGAUUGUUCAAAACAACUAUAUUUAGACAAGUAUAUUUUUGCAAAACAGCGAAAGCUCAGUGUUCCUUUCAAAAUGAAAACUUUCCUUUUCCAUACCUCACUAUCAAUUAUUUCAGUCUCAGAUAUGCCCCGUUCUGUUUCUCCCACAAUAUUUGACUUAAUUAACAAUACAGUCGAUUAUUUACAAGGAAGUUAUUUCUAAAACUGUAGUUCAAAAUCACAUCUGAUUUUUUCACCUGACUUUUGUGGUAUAGUUGUUUUUGUUUUUAAUGAUGUUGCCGGGGUUCACUUUUCCCAAAAGUAGUUUUUAAGAGUAAAAAACUGGGGGGAAAUCAUAAAUGGCCAAAGAGGUUAAAUAAAUUAUGUUACCUUCAUUAAGUAAAA